GUCUUAAAUGGGCGAUUUGAGUUGCAUGGAGUAGACCCGAAACCAGGUGAUCUAUCCAUGGCCAGGGUGAAGUCCCGGUAACACGGGAUGGAGGCCCGAACCAGUGUGGGGUGAAAACCGCUUGGAUGAGCUGUGGAUAGGAGUGAAAGGCUAAUCAAACCUGGAGAUAGCUGGUUCUCCCCGAAAUAUAUUUAGGUAUAGCCUCGUAGAUUAAAUAACGGGGGUAGAGCUCUGGAUGGGCUAGGGGUCCUACCAGAUUACCAAACCCAACCAAACUACGAAUACCGUUAUUCUUUACUACGGGAGUCAGACUAUGGGUGAUAAGAUCCGUGGUCGAGAGGGAAAGAGCCCAGAUCGCCAGCUAAGGUCCCAAAAUAUGUGCUAAGUGGGAAAGGAUGUGGAAACGCUGAGACAGCCAGGAGGUUGGCUUAGAGGCAGCCAUCCUUUAAAGAAAGCGUAACAGCUCACUGGUCAAGUGGUUCUGCGCCGAAAAUGUAACGGGGCUCAAGCACAUUACCGAAGCUGCGAAUCGUCUGAAUCUUCGGAUUCAGGUGGUGGUAGGGGAGCAUUCUAUUCUGGAGUGAAGCCAGACCGUAAGGACUGGUGGACUGGAUAGAAGAGAUAAUGCUGACAUGAGUAGCGAUAAUGCCGGUGAGAAACCGGCACGCCGAAAGCCUCAGGUUUCCUGGGUAAAGUUAAUCUGCUCAGGGUUAGUCGAUCCCUAAGUCGAGGCCGAAGGGCGUAG
rnacentral:rRNA from 1 species